AGCUGGUUCCCUCCGAAGUUUCCCUCAGGAUAGCUGGAGCCCAUUACGAGUUCUAUCAGGUAAAGCCAAUGAUUAGAGGCAUUGGGGACGCAACGCGCUCGACCUAUUCUCAAACUUUAAAUAGGUAGGAUGGCUCGGCUGCUUCGGUGAGCCGUGCCACGGAAUCGGGUGCUCCAAGUGGGCCAUUUUUGGUAAGCAGAACUGGCGAUGCGGGAUGAACCGGAAGCCGGGUUACG
rnacentral:ncRNA from 1 species